CACUCCUGCGGGAGUCAGCAGUGGGGAAUUUUGGACAAUGGGCGAAAGCCUGAUCCAGCAAUGCCGCGUGAGUGAAGAAGGCCUUCGGGUUGUAAAGCUCUUUUGUCAGGGAAGAAACGGUGAAAGCUAAUAUCUUUUGCUAAUGACGGUACCUGAAGAAUAAGCACCGGCUAACUACGUGCCAGCAGCCGCGGUAAUACGUAGGGUGCAAGCGUUAAUCGGAAUUACUGGGCGUAAAGCGUGCGCAGGCGGUUUUGUAAGUCUGAUGUGAAAUCCCCGGGCUCAACCGGGGAAUUGCAUUGGAGACUGCAAGGCUAGAAUCUGGCAGAGGGGGGUAGAAUUCCACGUGUAGCAGUGAAAUGCGUAGAGAUGUGGAGGAACACCGAUGGCGAAGGCAGCCCCCUGGGUCAAGAUUGACGCUCAUGCACGAAAGCGUGGGGAGCAAACAGGAUUAGAAACCCGUGUAGUCCCAUGAU
rnacentral:rRNA from 1 species